CCUCCCAUUGAGCGAGGCGGGGUGGAGAGCCGGCCGGGGUCUGCCCCUUCACAUGGCGAUGUCUCCGGCAGGUCCCGGCCGCCCGGGCCACACAGCACUCACGCACUUUGGGGAACCACCAAGAAACUCUCGUUUUGCUGAAGUAAUCCCCCCAGCUGAAGUAACCCCCUCACCUCCCCGUGUUCCUUAUGGCACCUGCAAAUCGUACUAAAAUGCACCGCAAGAAAAAUACGGCAACGCUUCACCCAUGUGCUCCAUCUCCACGUGGGGAGCCUCAUUGGCAGCUCUGUGCCUUCCAACACACGGCACGGCCCAGGGGUGGCUCCGGGGGCAGCCCUUGUCAGGGCUGAACUGGGAGAAAGUGGAUCCAGGUCUCCUUCAAAUGGGAAAUGUGAUUUAACGAAGUGAGUUUAUAACUCAGAAAGUGUGUGCUGUAUGUAUGGCAUCAUACGCUGCGUGAUUUCCAGAAACUAAAUAUUUAUAUAUAGAUAGAUCUAAUACUGUACAAACAAAUAGAAUUCCUAUCAGAAAGAAGCAUGUAAUUACUCCAUCUGGAUUUGCAGCGCUACCAACCAUCUAUACAACCCUAUAGCUUGAACAAAGCUUGUGUUCCAAGCUCCAGAACUCAGCACAGCUCCAUGUGCCCUUCCCAGUUCCUGGGUGCCUGGGUGAGAAGUGGGGCAGCUCUGCUUUCUCCUGGGGCCAGGAGAGCUGGUCCCACUGAGCAGGCAGGGAGUGCCAUGCGGAUGUCUGCUGCUGACCAUGCGUGCCUUGCAAGAGUUUCAUUCGUGCUCACGGCAUGUUUUAUUUAAAAGCACAGAACUGCAAUGACUUCUGAUGUGUGUGAUUUGUCAGAAGGAUGCUGAAGUUCACCUCCCUGUAUCAGGGGCUGUACCUGCGGUGGUCCUCCUCUUUAGAAGCAUCUGCUGUGUGGGGAAGCCGAUAGAGAUUGCUGUGAGAUGACAGCGCUCCUUCAGUCCAACCACGUGGAUUCCCAACACAGAGGAGUGGGACACUCAGCACGGUGUGAUGUGAUACUAAGAUUUCUUCUCAGAAUGCUGCCCCUGUUCUUCCCCUUUCCUCCCACCUGAAGGUCAAUAAUACACCUCUGUGUCCCCAAGGUUUAAAAGAGCCACAGAAAACCCUCAGACUGACCUCAAACCAUUUUCUCAGUCUUCUUUACGUGAGACUUGGGGGAUUUUGGAAGGAAUUUCCAAACACAACUAAAUACCCACAUGAAACCAAGUGGAUACUGCAAAGAAUUUGUCAGAGAGGCUGAAAUUACUGAAACAAACUGUCAGGAUUCUUAGAAAAUAUCAUCGAAUGGCCUGGGUUGGAAAGGACCGCAAUGAUCAUUGAGUUCCAACCCCCAGCUAUCAAACCUAAUGCACUGGUUUUAAAGCUUGAAGUCCAGAGGGUGUUGGAAAUAAUAUGUAUUUAGAGACAUUAUAAAUCACCAAAACAAUGGGCUUUGAAUAAAAGGCUUUCAUAGCAACAUUUUAAACAUGUUUUGCGCUUUGCUUUCCUAAAAGUAACGCAGCUUUUAUCGCUAUUGGAAUGAGUGAGCGCACGUCUUGCAUUGUGAUGGCAAAGGAGGUUUUUCCAUAGAAAAAUGAAUAAAUCUCUAACUUAUAACGGAGGAUAUCUUCUUUUUUCUCAAUUUGCACACACAUUGAGAAAUUGGUGUUUUAAGGAGCUCAUUAAAUGGCAUGAAAUGCAGGCAGGAUAACAUGAGUCACUCAUUCUAAAGUUACUUCAACCUAAAGGGCUUUGUUUUGCAUUGGGGAAAAUAUUGGGAACGUUUAUCUCCAAAGAAAGAAAGGAGAUCUCUCUCUUCAUCUCUAUUUUCUUUUGGAAAAUAUGGGUGGUUUUUUUUACUUUCUUUGUUCAAUUCCAGUGUUUUUAACACUGGAAAAAAGAGAAACAACUUCUACCGAACUGCAUUUAAACCAGGAAAAUCCAAACGUGUUACCUGGAUUGGAAUUAAACUGUGAUUAAACCA